ensembl:snoRNA
CAGCCAAUCAAUUAAUCUGCAUAUCUGAAUGUGUAUCUGCAGAGAUUUAGAAAAAGCUGGAAACAGUAAGUCCAUGUUAUGAGCCUUAAAGACAGCUCAGGUCAUCCCUGAGAAUGAUUACACUA